rnacentral:rRNA from 1 species
AGGAAUAAGCAUCGGCUAACUCCGUGCCAGCAGCCGCGGUAAGACGGAGGAUGCAAGUGUUAUCCGGAAUCACUGGGCGUAAAGCGUCUGUAGGUGGUCAAAUAAGUCAACUGUUAAAUCUUGAGGCUCAACCUCAAAAUCGCAGUCGAAACUAUUAGACUAGAGUAUAGUAGGGGUAAAGGGAAUUUCCAGUGGAGCGGUGAAAUGCGUAGAGAUUGGAAGGAACACCGAUGGCGAAGGCACUUUACUGGGCUAUUACUAACACUCAGAGACGAAAGCUAGGGUAGCAAAUGGGAUUAGAUACCCCAGUAGUCCUAGCCGUAAACAAUGGAUACUAGAUGUUGAACAGAUCGACCUGUGCAGUAUCAAAGCUAACGCGUUAAGUAUCCCGCCUGGGAAGUAUGCUCGCAAGAGUGAAACCCAAAGGAAUUGACGGGGGCCCGCACAAGCGGUGGAGCAUGUGGUUUAAUUCGAUGCAACGCGAAGAACCUUACCAGGGUUUGACAUGAUACGAAUUUCUUUGAAAGAAGAAAGUGCCGUUUGGAACGUAUACACAGGUGGUGCAUGGCUGUCGUCRGCUCGUGUCGUGAGAUGUUGGGUUAAGUCCCGCAACGAGCGCAACCCUCAUUUUUAGUUGCCUUAUGGAACUCUAGAAAGACUGCCGGUUAUAAACCGGAGGAAGGCGGGGAUGACGUCAAGUCAGCWUGCCCCUUACACCCUGGGCUACACACGUGCUACAWUGGGCGAGACGAUGAGAUGCKACUCUGCGAAGACUAGCUAAUCUAUAAACUCGUUCUAAGUUCGGAUUGUAGGCUGCAACUCGCCUACGUGAAG